rnacentral:rRNA from 1 species
UACGAAGGGUGCAAGCGUUAAUCGGAAUUACUGGGCGUAAAGGGUGCGUAGGCGGUUGUUUAAGUCUGUCGUGAAAUCCCCCGGGCUCAACCUGGGAAUGGCGAUGGAUACUGGACAGCUAGAGUGUGUCAGAGGAUGGUGGAAUUCCCGGUGUAGCGGUGAAAUGCGCAGAUAUCAGGAGGAACACCAGUAGCGAAGGCGGCACUCUGGGCCGGUACUGACGCUGAGGAGCGAAAGCAUGGGGAGCGAACAGG